rnacentral:rRNA from 1 species
GACGAACGCUGGCGGCGUGCCUAAUACAUGCAAGUCGAGCGAGAAAGAUUGGAGCUUGCUUCAAUCGAUCUAGCGGCGGACGGGUGAGUAACACGUGGGCAACCUGCCCUUAAGAUUGGGAUAACUUCGGGAAACCGGAGCUAAUACCGAAUAGGAAUAAGAAGUACAUACUUUUUAUUGGAAAGUUGGCGCAAGCUAACACUUAAGGAUGGGCCCGCGUCGCAUUAGCUAGUUGGUAAGGUAACGGCUUACCAAGGCGACGAUGCGUAGCCGACCUGAGAGGGUGAUCGGCCACACUGGGACUGAGACACGGCCCAGACUCCUACGGGAGGCAGCAGUAGGGAAUCUUCGGCAAUGGACGAAAGUCUGACCGAGCAACGCCGCGUGAGUGAAGAAGGUUUUCGGAUCGUAAAGCUCUGUUGUAGGGGAAGAAAUGCUAGUAGAUGAAUAAGCUAUUAGCUUGACGGUACCCUAUUAGAAAGCCACGGCUAACUACGUGCCAGCCGCCGC